AGGAAAUUAAGGAUUUAACGGCGUUUAAUUAACGGCAUUUUAGUAAACGUCACCUUUUCUAAUAAUUAACGACGUUUUUUAAACGUCGCAUUUGUUAUAAAUUAAAACGGUACCGUUUUGUGAAUGGAAGACGUUUAAAAAGCGCCUCCAAAUCUGGUUUCUCUUUCCACCCUCUUUUGUCUCUCCAAACCUUUAUUUUGAAACCCCUAUCUUCAGCACUGCCGUCAAGACGAUCAAAUCCUGUCUCACUCACUCUCUUGCUCUCUCUCUCUCAGAGAAUCGAAUCUGUUUCUCCAAAUCUCUUUCUCUCAGAGGAUCGAUUCUUCUCAGUCUCUUCCUCAGUGAUUCUUCUUCGAAUCUUCUUCAGUUUGGUGAUUCAUUUCGGGAUUGCGAUUUCGAAGUUUGAUUUUGAGCACAGCUCCGUGAUUUAUAUCUUCGAUCAAAGGUCGGUGAUUCAUCUCAGGAUUGUGAUUUCGAAGUUCGAUUUUGAGCACAACUCCAUGAUUCAUCUCCGUGGAUUUGGAACUCUUCGUCUUCUUCGAUCAGAGGCAUUCAAUUGUAACAAUGAAGGCUGCCAAGGGUAAGGGGGCAGCAAUCAGGGUCCCAAAGGAGGCGUUGAAGCCAGUUGACGACAUAAAGGUCGGGAAGAGAAAGGCU